ensembl:lncRNA
ACCUGGGUGACAUCUGGGUGACAUGGGACAGCUGGGUGACAUGGGGAGCACCUGGGUGACAUGGGACAGCUGGGUGACAUGGGUGACAUCUGGAGCACCUGGGUGACGGGACAGCUGGGUGACAUGGGACAGACAGGUGACAGGGGACAGCUGGGUGAUGGGGAGCACCUGGGUGACAUGGGAUGGCUGAGUGACAGGGGACUUCUGGGUGACAUGGGGAGCACCUGGGUGACACAGGACAGCUGGGUGACAAAGAACAACUGGGUGACAAAAGGCCCCUGGGUGAUGGGAGCACCUGGGUGACAAAGGACAGCUGGGUGACAUGGGGGACAGCUGGGUGACAUAGGAGAGCUGGGUGACAUGGGGAGCACCUGGGUGAUGGGAGCACCUGGGUGAUGGGACAGCUGGGUGACAUGGGACAGACAGGUGACAGGGGACAGCUGGGUGAUGGGAGCACCUGGGUGACAUGGGACAGCUGGGUAACAUGGGAUGGCUGGGUGACAUGGGACAGCUGGGUGGCAGGGGACAUCUGGGUGACAUGGGACAGAUGGGUGACAAAGGACGGGUGACAUGGGACAGCUGGGUGAUGGGAGCACCUGGGUGACACAGGACAGCUGGGUGACAUAGGAGAGCUGGGUGACAUGGGACAGCUGGGUGACAUCUGGGUGACAUGGGGACAGCUGGGUGACAUAGGAGAACUGGGUGACGUGGGACAGCUAAGUGACAGAGGGAGCACCUGGGUGACAUGGGGGACAGCUGGGUGACAUCUGGGUGACAUGGGGACAGCUGGGUGAUGGGAGCACCUGAGUGACAUCUGGGUGACACGGGACAGCUGGGUGACAAAAGGCCCCUGGGUGAUGGGAGCACCUGGGUGACAUCUGGGUGACGUGGGAGAGCUGGGUGACAUGGGG